GACUUUAUAGUCAUAUUUAAUGACAUUAGACUGCAAUUCUAAAGGAAUAAUUUUUUUAUUAAAGUUU
rnacentral:tRNA from 1 species